rnacentral:rRNA from 1 species
UACGAAGGGAGCUAGCGUUGUUCGGAAUUACUGGGCGUAAAGCGCGUGUAGGCGGUCCGGUAAGUCCGCUGUGAAAGUCGAGGGCUCAACCCUCGAAUGCCGGUGGAUACUGUCGGGCUAGAGUACGGAAGAGGCGAGUGGAAUUCCUGGUGUAGCGGUGAAAUGCGCAGAUAUCAGGAGGAACACCAAUUGCGAAGGCAGCUCGCUGGGACGUUACUGACGCUGAGACGCGAAAGCGUGGGGAGCAAACAGG